GGUGUCUAGCUCAUGCCUGGCCGCUGGCGGAGGCUCUCUCCUGGCUCCACGGCAGAGGCCAGAGCAAGGAGCCAGUUGUAGUGCUAGCUCCACCUUUGUCGCAGCUGCCACUACUGCCACCGGAAAACAUUUUUCUUAAAAAAUGUGUUCUUAUGGCGGGGCGUGGUGGCUCAUGCCUGUAAUCUCAGCACUUUGGGAGGCCAAGGUGGGCGGAUCACGAGGUCAGGAGAACAAGACCAUCCUGGCUAACAUGGUGAAACCUCGUCCCUACUAAAAAUACAAAAAAUUUGCCGGGGUGGUGGCAGGCGCCAGUAGUCCCAGCUACUCGGGAGGCUGAGGCAGGAGAAUGGCGUGAACCUGGGAGGCUGAGCUUGCAGUGAGCCGAGAUUGCACCACUGCACUCCAGCCUGAGCAACAGAGCGAGACUCCAUUUCAAAAAAAAAAAAAGUGUUCUUAUUUAAAAGAAAAUUAUUUUUGUGUAAUUUAAAGGUUAUUCAUGAAACAGGAUAAAAGGAACCAAUAAAUAGGAGAGAUGUAAAGACAGAUACAAAUAUAAAGAGAUAUUCUGGUAAAGAAGGUUAAAAAGAAAAUUAUUUUAUAUGACAAAGAAUCUUGUAUGGUAAAUUUUUGUCCUAAAAUAAAAUCACUGGUUAUUUAGCAAACAAGGAUGUUUAGAAUAAAACAGGAAGUCCAGACAUGUCAUAAGUGGUUUGUGUAUGUCAUAAUAAACGAUUAUAAAAAGACGAUUUAUGUGAAAAAAAUUUUAUGUGAUCAAGUUGUCUACAAUUACAAGGAAAUUAUUUAUAAUAGACUUUCUAGAGAUUGAUCUAUGAUAUUAAAAAUAUACUAAUACACUAAGGAAUUGGUUAGAACAAAAUUUUCUUAACAUAUUAUUUUAAUAAAAUUACAAGAGAUUUUCAUUUUUUUUACACCACAAGUUCAAUUUAUAUUGCAUCUUGCUGUUUUUAGCUAUCUCACCUUUGAGAAGGACAGCGAUGAUAUCUCUCUCUCUCUCUCAACUAUGUCAGCUCCUGUAAAUUUUUCCUUCAGGUUUUAACUGCUAUUGUGGCCUGAUACUAAAACAUUCUAUCUUAAAGUUAUAAAGGAAAUAUUUUCUCCCAGUAUAACAUUCUGUGCUUUGGCUUUAAAUUGUUCUAUCAAACCAAAAAUGUUCACUUAAUGUUUCCUGUAACCCAGGAAACACUCCUCCUGUGGCUAACUAGUUCAAAAUACAUUUUCAUUAGUUUUAAUUUUCAGGUUCUCUAAAUAGACUCCCUAUACGGAAAAGCAGUCACACUACAGCGGGUGUUUUUUUUUUCUUUGUUUGACUUUUGGUAACUAGACUAACAAAAAAGAUUUAUGGCUUAUUGAAAUAAGUCCUACGUAAUUGUUAUUAAGUUUUGAUUUGCUUACAAAAACUGAGUUACAUUUUUUUUUAAAGUUAAAGUUACUGUGUCAGGAAUUGGUGGGUUCUUGGUCUCACUGACUUCAAGAAUGAGGCCGCGGCCCCUCGCGGUGAGUGUUACAGUUCUUAAGGGCGGCAUGUCCGGAGUUUGUUCCUUCUGACAUUCGGAUGUGUUGAGAGUUUCUUCCUCCUGGUGGGUUUGUGGUCUUGCUGGAUCAGGAGUGAAGCUGCAGACCUUCGCGGUGAGUGUUACAGCUCUUAAGGUGGUGCGUCUGCAGUCGUUUGUUUCUGCCAGUGCCUUCAUGGUCUCACUGGCUUCAGAAGUGAAGCUGCAGACCUUCGUGGUGAGUGUUACAGCUCAUAAGGGCAGUGUGGACCCAAAAAGUGAGCAGCAGCAAACUUUAUUGCAAACAGCGAAAGAACAAACCCACCACAGGGUGGAAGGGGACUCAAACGUGGUCCCGCUACUGGCUCAGGCAGCCUGCUUUUAUUCUCUUAUCUGGCCCCACCCACAUCCUACUGACUGGUCCAUUUUAGAGAGAGCCGAUUGGUCUGUUUUACAGAGAGCUGAUUGGUCCGUUUUGAUAGGGUGCUGAUUGGUGCGUUUACAAUCCCUGAGCUAGACACAAAAGUUCUCCACCUACCCACUAGAUUAGCUAGAUACAGAGUGUGGACACAAAGGUUCUCUAAGUCCCCACCACAGUAGUUAGAUACAGAGUGUCGACUGGUGCAUUCACAAACCCUGAGCUAGACACAGGGUGCUGAUUGGUGUGUUUACAAACCUUGAGCUAGAUACAGACUGCCAAUUGGUGUAUUUACAAUCCCUUAGCUAGACAUAAAGGUUCUCCAAGUCUCCACCAGACUCAUGAGCCCAGCUGGCUUCACCCAGUGGAUCCCGCACCAGGGCCACAGGUGGAGCUGCCUGCCAGUUCCGCGCCAUGCGCCUGCACUCCUCAGCCCUUGGGUGGUCAAUAGGACUGGGCGCCCUGGAGCAGCGGGCGGGGCUCCUCAGGAAGGCUGGGGCUGCGCAGGAGCCCACGGCGGGGGCAGGGGCAAGCUCAGGCAUGGUGGGCUGCGAGUCCCCAGCCCUGCCCCACAGGGAGGCAGCUAAGGCCCGCGGAGAAGUCGAGCACAGCAGCUGCUGGUCCAGGUGCUAAGCCCCUCGCUGCCCCGGCCAGCUGGGCCAGCUUGCUGCUCCGAGUGCGGGCCAGCGCCCACGCCCACCCGGAACUCGCGCUGGCCCGCAAGUGCUGCGCACAGCCCCGAUUCCCGCCCACACCUCUCCCUCCACACUUCCCCGCAAGCUGAGGGAGCCGGCUCUGGCCUUGGCCAGCCCAGAAAGGGGCUCCCACAGUGCAGUGGCGGGCUGAAGGGCUCCUCAAGCGUGGCCAGAGUGGGCGUCAAGGCCGAGGAGAUGCCAAGAGUGAGCGAGGGCUGUGAGGGCUGCCAGCACGCUGUCACCUCUCAUUAUUACAUCUGUUUAACUUUGUGUUGCUUUUGAAAUCCUUGUGCUGUUAAGUUACAGGGCUUUGACUCCGUUGAUUCCUGGGUCUGAAAAAGACACCAAACCCUGCUAACUUUUAAACAUUGACAGCAGUUAAAGCCUCAUCUUCAGACCCAGGAGAAGAUGACAGUCAAAACAAAGUGUGUUUAUAAUAAGACACAGGGACAGAAAUUAAAACUCUUCAACUCCCCAAUCCUAGGGACUACUGCAGAAGAGGUGAGCACAUGAGAUUGUAAGGGCCAAUUUUGAGAAAGAAAAUUAGUUCAGGGUUUCUCUAUAAAUUAAACAUUAGUAUCAAAGGUACACUGAUGCAAGACCAGCAACUGGGCCCCUGUGUCAGAUUAAUAUGGCUUUUGUGGAGCAUUAAUCCACUUUUUUUAAAAAUAUAAAAGGUUAUAAAAAGGCUUAUUGAAUUAUAUCUUUUAGUCAAGAUGUUUAAAAUUUAGUAGAUUUAUUUAUAACAUUUGAGAGACAUUUAAUUGGUCUUGACCUAAUGCUAUCUUUAUUAGAGCUUACUGUUUGGGAAAUUAAGUCUCCUGUCUCAAAGUAUAAAGGGUUUGGCCAUUUAUUUUUACAUCUUUGAGUUAUCAUUUUGGCUACAUGAAUGACUUAUUUAUUUUACAAUGACCUGUGAUCCUAUUUUGUGAUAUCCUGUGUUUUAAACUUUUCAUAUUUGACAAACUUUCUAAAAUCAAAUACUAAAUUCAGUCCUUUUGACCUCACUAAUGUUUUGAUAUUAGGUCCCCUGAAGUCCAAAACAGACAUAUUUGGCUUAUUUUCUACAAAAAAAAAUUAUACAGGAAGCAUUGUUAAAUAUGAAAUGGUGUUUAACCUACUUUGGGUUAUAUUUAUAUAAAUGUGUUAUUAGUGUGUGUCCUAAAAUCGUAGAAUAUUCCUGUGAUUCUGAUAUGUCUCAAUAUAUGUUGUCAGUAGUAAUUACAAUUAUUAUGUGUAAAAUUGUUGUAUGCCACAAAAGUAACCAAAUUUCCUUGUCAGUUGUGUCUCUAACUAUGGCUGCUCUACAACUUUUGUCAUCUACAAUUGUUGAUUACUUUGAUCCUUUCAUAGUGUGGUUUAUAAUCAGCUAUAGAACUUUGUGGAAUUCACAUUUAGAGACCGUGUAAUUGAAAUGGAGAGAAAAUCUUCCAGGACUCUCAUGGAGAGCUGAUGUAUUCAUGAGGAUUCCUGAUCCAAUACUGACCAGAAGUUAACUGCAUGGACUGAACUAACAGACAACUGAAAUAAUCUUUUAUGACUCUUUGUUUAAAACAUUUGCUGAUUUUGUUUUUCAGAGUCAAGAAACCUUUUUUAUCUUUUAAGCUAUUUACAGCUUUUAACAUUUGAGUAAAGUAUAUAUAUAUAUAUAUAUAUAUGUAUAUUUUAAUUGAGGCAGAGUCUCGCGCUGUCACCUAGGCUGGAAUGCAAUGGCACAAUCUCAGCUCAAUGCAACCUCUGCCACCCAGGUUCAAGUGAUCCUCUCACCUCAGCCUCCUGAGUAGCUGGGGUUACAGGCACCUGCCACCACGCCCAGCUAAUUUUUGUAUUUUUAGUAAAGAUCUGGUUUCACCAUGUUGGCCAGGCUGGUCUCGAAAACCUGACCUCAAGUGAUCCGCCCAGCUUGGCCUCCCAAAGUGCUGGGAUUACAAGUUUGAGCUACCAUGGCCAGCCUGAGUAAAGUAUACUCUUAUGAGCAAAAUUUAAAACACCUGCUCCUGUGAAAGAAAAAUAACACCUUGGGACCCCAAAUUCAUUAUGCCAAAGGGAAAGUUAAGCUUGGGAAUUGAGUCAUGCAAAAAACUAUCUUCCUUUUGUUCCCAAACAGAUAGCUGCCAUUUCACAUGCUUACUUUAUUUUAUGUAACGUGCAGGUUUACUGAGCAUGAGAAUAGUGCUUAAGUGACUUUUUCUUAUACUACCUUCUUUGCACAUUUAAAACUGUUGGGAGCAAGCCCCCCAAAGUCUGGCCAUAAACUGGCCCCAAAACUGGCCAUAAAUAAAAUCUCUGCAGCAAUGUAACAUGUCCAUAAUGGCCAUAACACCCAUGCUGGAAGGUUGUGGGUUUACGGGAAUGAGGGCAAGGAACACCUGGCCCACCCAGGGCGGAAAACUGCUUAAAGGCAUUUUUAAGCCACAAACAAAAGCUGAGCGAUCUGUGUCUUAAGGGCGUGUUCCUGCUGCAAUUAAUUUGGCACAUCCUUUCUUUUCCCUUAAAGGAUACUUUUAGUUAAUUUAAUAUCUAUAGAAACAAUGCUAAUGACUGGUUUGCUGUUAAUAAAUAUGUGGGUAAAUCUCUGUUCGGCGCUCUCAGCUCUGAAGGCUGUGAGACCCCUGAUUUCCCACUUCACACCUCUGUAUUUCUGUGUGUGUGUCCUUAAUUCCUCUAGCGCCACUGGGUUAGAGUCUCCCCGAGCGAGCUGGUCUCGGCAAGUGGCGUCCAUUCGUGGAGGCUCGAAUCCAGGUCAAAGGGUUGCCAGAGCGACGGUUGGAAUGGAAAACUAGCUGGAGGACACCCAAGUACUCUUAAAGCAAUCCCCGUGUUCUGGAGGCUGGGAAGUCCAAGGUCAAGAUGCUGACAAAUGAUGAGAGCUUUCUUGCUGCAUCCUCACAUGGAAGAAGGUGGAAGGGCAAGAGAGAAGAAACUAAUGCUAGGAAAUGCCUCUUUUAAAAGGGACUUAGUCCCAUUAACAAAGAAGCAGAUCUUAUGGCCUAAUCAUCUCAUAAAAGCACCACCUCUUAAUACUAUCACAUUGGCAAUACCUUAAUUUUGGAGGGGACACAUUCAAACCAUAGCAGAGACCACUAAGUAUAGGGAAGACUAAACCCGAGAACCAAGUGGCCAGAAGCCUGCACUAGCUCAGCUGAUUCUGCUAUUACACUUAGAUAAAGUAUGAGCCUUUUGCUACUGAAUCAACAGAAAGGCUGCCCGAAAGCAGUGAGUCUCAGAUGCCUCCCAUGAAGUUCACACAUCACACCAGGGACUUCUACUCAUACGUGAAAAGCUAGAGAAUCAUGUUUAGGUAGGCAAGGGGAGAGAGGUCCUGGACAGGUUAUUGAAGGACUGAUUUUAAAUUACAAAAUACCUCUUUAUGUUUAGUUUGCAAACAAAAGGAGUCAAUUAGUGAAGGCUUGGCUGACCUGAUUUCAGAAACAGUAGGGACCCACUUUUUGCAGUAGUUAGGAAGCCUCAGGAUCUUUUUAAAUGUAUCCUAAUUACUAGCCUAGGAAAGUCUUAAAAGAGCUAUAGUUUGUUGGGAGAAAGGGAUUUGCCUUCUUUAGAAAAAUCUAUCUUUGGUAAUGCACUUGGUUUUGACAAAACCAAGUGCAUUGGUUUUGUUACUUUCCUUUAAAAAUUCUAUCUUUUUAAAACAUUCCUGGAACUCAUCUGUUCUUUUUUUUUUUUUUUUUUUUUUGAGAUGAAGUUUUGCUCUUGUUGCCCAGGAUGGAGUGCAAUGGUGCAAUCUCAGCUCACUGCAACCUCCGCCUCCUGGGUUCAAGUGAUUCUCCUGCCUCAUCCUUCCUAGUAGCUGGGAUUACAGGUGCCCACCACCACACCCAGCUAAUUUUUGUAUUUUUAGUAGAGAUGGGGUUUCACCAUGUUGGCCAGGCUGGUCUCGAACUCCUGACCUUAGGUGAUCCACCUUCGUCUGCCUCCCAAAGUGCUGGGAUUACAGGCGUGAGCCACCACACCCGGCCUCACCUGUUCUUUAGGAUAUGACAGCAGAUCAUCUAUAUAUCAGAUAAGAAUAGAACCACAGAAAAAUUUAAGAUCCUUAAAAUUCUUGGUUAAGGAUUAUUAUAAAAUAGAAUGGUAUUUCAGUAAAUCCCUGAGGCUUAGGAGUCCAGGUACAAUGUUGGUUCUCAAUUAAAAUAUAAAUCAUGUCUAGGGACACUUACGAACACAGAACAUAUAUUUACAGCUAGAAAAUAUACAGCUUCAGACCAGGCAUGGUGGCUCAUCCCAGCACUUUGGGAGGCUGAGGCAGGUGGAUCAUCUGAGGUGAGGAGUUUGAGACCCUGUCUCUACUAAAAAUACAAAAAAUUUGCUGGGUGUGGUGGCACAUGCCUGUAAUCCCAGCUACUCGGGAGGCUGAGGCAGGAGAAUUGCUUGAACCCAGGAGGUAGAGGCUGCAGCGAGCUGAGAUUGUGCCACUGCACUCCAGCCUCAGCAACUCCGUCUCAAAAAAAAAAAAAAAUACAGCCUCAAAUAGGACUAAAAAUAAGAUUAUAUAUAAAUUUGGUUUUCCAAGUGUAUGAGGAAUAACUAUGAGGCUGAGGUCAUGAACAAAUGUAUAUUCUCGCACUGUUUUUUGUUUUUUUUUUUUUUUUGAGAUGGAGUCUCACUCGGUUGCCUGGGCUAGAGUGCAGUGGCGCGAUCUCGGCUCACUGCAACCUCUGCCUCCUGGGUUCAAGGAAUUCUCCUGCCUCAGCCUCCUGAGUAGCUGGGACUACAGGCACACGCCAUCACACCUGGGUAAUUUUUGCAUUUUUAGUAGAGACAGGGUUUUAUCGUGUUAGCCAGGACGGCCUUGAUCUCACGACCUCGUGAUCCACCUGCCUCGGCCUCCCAAAGUGCUGGGAUUACAGGCGUGAGCCACCACGCUCGUCCUCACAUGGGGUUUUAUUAUUAGGAUGGUAAGAGUAUUAUAAGGAUUGGUACAAGGCAUGAUGAGUCCUUUUGCUUUUAGGCUUUUGACUUCUGGUUUUAGACUUUCUUUAGCUUCUGUUGUUAGACAACAUUGUGCAAGCUUGGUUUUUAGAAGUUUGUAUGGAUUAAACUGAACUUAAUGAAAUUGUCCCUCCCCCCAAAUUCUCAGCACAAUUUUUAGGCCCACAAGGAGUCAAGCACCUCAAGGAGAUCUUCAGUUUGAACUUGGUGUAGACACAGGGAUACUGAUGAAUCAAUAUUCAAAUUAGCUGUUACCUACUUCAGAAAGAGAGGAGACCUUGGGGAUUUUGAGGAAGGGUUCGUAAGGGAGAUUUUAGCUGAGAAAUACCAUUUGCACAGUCAAUCACUUCUGACCAAGUUAUCAGAAAAAGGAGAAAAGAAUGUCUCCCCACUAAAUGCUCUAGGGUGGUGGUUAUCUAAAUAUUGUUGGAAAUACUCUCCUGAAGUGUUCAUUGAACUCUAAGAGAGACAGCUUGUGUAUCAGUGGCAGGGUUUAAGGUUCAUUUUUUAGUCCCAUAUGAAUCCUUUAAUAUUUAGACAAAUUUCCUUCUGAGUUUAAGGAUAAAAUGGGAUGGGUUCUGCCUGGGCCUGGCCCUCAUGGGGACAUCAAAGGGCAUUGUUGCAAAAAAAAAAAAAACAAUCAGACCAUCAGAAUGCAUGAGACUCACUCAUCAUCACAAGAACAGCAUGGGGGAAACCACCCCCAUAAUUAAAUUACCUCCACCCAGUCCCACCCUUGACACCUGGAGAUUAUGGAGAUUGCAAUUCAAGGUGAGAUUUGGGUGGAGACAUAGAGCCAAAGUAUAUUAUUCAAAUAAGAAAUCAAAAGAGAAAUUGGAAAGUUCGUUGAGCUGAAAAUGAAAACACGAUAUAUCAAAAUCAGGGAGUUGCAGCUAAUGUAUGCUUGGAGGCAAAUUUAAGCACUAAGAUCCUAUAUUAUAACAAAAAAGAAAGGUCUCAAAUCAGUGACCUGAGUUUUCACCUUCAGAAACUGGAAAGAGAAGAGCAAAUUAAACACAAUGUAAGCAGAUAAAGAAAAUAAUAAAAAGAACAGAAAUCAAUGAAAGAAAAAAGGGAAAAUUAUAAGAAAAAUCCAAGAAAGUAAAUGCUAAUCAUUUUAAACAAUCAAUUAAAUUGUUAAACUUCUAGUCAGCUGAUGAAGAAAAAAGUAAAAAGGCACGAAUUACCAAUACCAGGAAUGAAAGGGUGGGUGUCACCAAAUCUUCUACAGUAAUUAUAAGGAAACAAUGGACUACUGUGAGCCAUUUUUUUCUAAUAAAUUUGAUAACUUAGAUGAAAUGAACACAUUCUUUGGAAGGCAUAAACUAUCAAAGUUCACUCAAGAAGAAAUAGAUAACAUGAGUAUCUAUUGACAAAAUCAAGUUUUUAAUUAAAAUCCUAAUGACAAAGAAAACUAUAGGUCCAGGUGGUUUUCAUGGUGAAGUCUAACAAUAUUUAAGGAAACAAUAACAAUUCUACACAAAUCCUUCCAGACAAUAGAAAAGGAAAAGGUCCUUCUUUUAUUAGAUGAAGACAGCAUUACUUUCUUACUAAAUCAAACAGACAUCAUAAGAAACAACAACAGAGACCAAUAACCCUCAUGAACAAUGAUGAAAAUAUUCUUACUAAAAUUUUAGCAAAUCUAGUUCAUCUAGAUCAUGACAAAGUGUACUUUAUUGCAGGAAGAUAAAGUUGAUUUAACAUUCAAAAAUCAAUAAAUGAACUUUACCAUAUUAGUGGGCUAAAAAGAAAAAUGCAUAUGAUCAUCUUAAUAGAAAAAGCACUUAGUAAAACCCAACAUUGAGUCAUGAUUAAAAGCCCUCAGAAAACCAGGGAUAAAAUGAAGAGUUCUCAUAGGAUGCAGGCCAACUACACAAAAAUCUAUGUCUUCCUAAAAUUGAGAACAAGGUAAAGAUAUCUAUUCUCACCACUUUUAUUAAACAUUGUACUGGAGGUUCUAACUCAUGAAAUAAGGCAAGAAAAAGAAAUAAAUCAUCUAGAUUGGAAAGAGUAACACUUUCCUUAUCAUUUGUGUAGACCAGCCCAUGGAAUCCAUGAAAUAAAAGCUAUUAGAACUAAUAAGUGAGUUAGCAAGGUGGCAGAGUUCAAGAUUAAUAUACACAAAUCAAGGGUAUUUUUACAUAAAACAAUCAGAAAUUGAAAUUUUAAAAAUGUUAUUUCCAAUACCAUUAACAAAUAUAAAAUUGUUAGCCAUAAACCAAAUAAAACAUGUGGAAGACUUGUACAUUGAAAACUGCAAAACAUUGCUGAGAGAAAUUAAAGAAGACCUAACUAAAUGGAACAUGUACCAUGUUCAUGGACAGGAAGACUUGAAGUUGUUAAGAUGUCAAUUCUCCCAAGUUGAGUUAUAGAUCAAUUGAAUAUCAAUCAAAAUUCCAGAAGGCUUUUAAAAGUGAAAAUCAAUCAUUGAACUUUAAGUUUUAUAUGGAAAAAAUGAAGGACCUAGAAUAGUGAAAAUAACUUUGCAAAAGAAGAACAAAGUUGGAGGACUUACUUAUCUGAUUUCAAGGCUAAAUAUAAAGCUAUAUUAAAACAGUAUGGUAUUGGCAUACAUAUAGACAAAUAGAUCAAUGAAACACAAUAGAGAUUCCAGAAAUAGACUCACAUAUAUAUGGCCAAUAGAUUCUUGACAAAGUACAAAGACAAUUCAAUGGAGAAAGUAUUGUCUUUUCAACAAAUGAUGCUGAAUCCCCCAAAAAGUGAACUUUGAUUCAUACCUCACAGCAUAUACAAACUUUAAUUCAAAGGAAUUCAUAGACCUUAAACUAUAACAUUUUUAGAAGAAAAUAGAGCAGAAAUCUUUGUGACCUUGGAUACAACAUAAAAAGCAUAAUUCAUAAGAGAACAAAUUGAUAAUAUGCAUUUCAUCAAAAUUAAAAACUUCCACUCUUCAAAAUACACUGUUAAGAGAAUGAAAAGACACAGAUCAAGAGGACGUAUUUUUAAAUCACAUAUCUGUAAAGGACUUCUAUGCAGAACAUAUAAAACCCUCGAACCUCAAUAAUAAAAUGCAAACAUGCAAUAAAAAGAGGAACAAAAGAUUUGAACAGACACUUCACCAACAGAAAUAUUGAUGGCAAACAAGAUCAGGAAAAGAUGUUUAAUAUCAUUAUUCAAUAAAGAGAUGCAAAUUGAAACUACAAGUUGAUACCACUACACACCUGCUAGAAGGUGUAAAAUUAAACAGACUGAUAUACCAGGUGAUGGCAAGGAUGUAGAGAAAUUAGAAACCUCCUACACUGCUGGUGGGAAGGUAAAAAUGGCACAACCACUUUGGAAAACAGUUUGGCAGUUUAUUAAAUAGCUAAAUACACCUACCAUAUGAUCCAGCCAUUCCACUCCUAGAGAGAGAAAAGCAUAUGUCUAUAUAAAGGUUUGUAUGCAAAUGUUUAUAACAGCUUUAUUUGUAAUAACCAAAAGCUGGAACCAGUUCAAAUGUUCAUCAACUCCUGAAUGCAUUAACAAAUUGCGUUUACUCAUAAAAUUGAAGACUCUUCAGCCAUAGAAAGAAAUGGGUUGUUGAUACUGCCAAAAACAUGGAUGAAUCUUAAAAUAACUUCGCUGAAGCAAAGAAGCCAGAGCUCACAAAAGUAUGAGGACAUACACUAUGCUUCCAGGUAUAUAAAAUUAUAGAAAAUGCAAACUAACCUAUGAUAACUGAAAGUACGUCUGUGGUUGCCUGGGGACAGGCUGAGGGUGGAGAAGUGGAGGGAAGGAUUACAAAGGGCACAAGGAGAGACUGAGGUGAUGGAUAUGUUUAUUAUCUUUUUUUUUUUUUUUUUUGAGACGGAGUCUCGCUCUGUCACGUAGGCUAGAGUGCAGUGGCGCAAUCUCGGCUCACUGCAACCUUUGCUUCCCGGGUUCAAGGGAUUCUCCUGCCUCAGCCUCCUGAGUAGCUGGGAUUACAGGCGUGUGCCACCACGCCUAGCUAAAUUUUGUAUUUUUAGUAAAGGCGGGGUUUCACCAUGUUGGCCAGGCUGGUUUCCAACUCCUGACCUCAUGAUCCACCCGCCUUCACCUCCCAAAGUGCUGGGAUUACAGGCGUGAGCCACUGAGCCUGGCCGAUCUGUUUAUUAUCUUAAACUGUAGUGAUGGUUUCACAAGCAUAAACACACAUCAAAUUUUGCACUUUCAAUAUGCGCGGUUUAGUGUAUGUCAGUCAUCCCUCAAUAACACUGUUAAACAUUAAAAUUAAAUUGUAAAUUAUCAAAGAAAAAAACACUAAAAGCACUUUAAAAAAGGCAUAACUAUAAAGACACUGAUUAGAUUAAGAGCAAACUUCACAACUGCAGCAAUCACGACCACACACAGUGGAACAGUAUAUUCCAAGUGCUGAUGAAAAUAAUCAUCAAAAUGGAAUCUACCCUGCUGAACAGUGUUCAAGAGAUAGUAUAAAAUGAAUGCUUUUUAAAAUUAUUUAUUUUUAGGGCGGGGCUGCCAAGGGAGGAGGAAGAUGGCGGCGGGGGCGAGGUGAGGUGUUGGCAGCGGAAAGGGGUUCGGGCUUAGGGGGCGGGGGACGCGGAGCGAUGCCGGCGCCCGCGCAGGGGCGGAUAAAAAGCCAUAGCGCCACGGGAGUGGGCGGGAGGGAGAGGGGGUGCCCGAGGGCCACAAGAGUAUGACGGGGCUGUAAGAGCUGGUGUGGCGGGUGCUGCCCCCCUGCUCUGUCUGCACCGCAAGCUCACCUCCUGGCUCCGCGUUCGGUUCGGCACUUGGAACUGGAUCUGGCGACGGUGCCGGCGCGCCGCUUCUGCCGCGGUCCUAGCGCCGCUCGGCUUCACGCUCCGCAAGUCUCAGGCGUCUGCAGGAACCGCCAUCACCACCCGCACCCGCGCCGGGGGUCGUGCCUGCCCGCAGCCCACCACCAGAUGCGCUGGCGCGCGGACGGCCCUUCCCUGGAGAAGGUGCCUGUGCACAUGGGCCUUGGUGAUCACCGAGGUGGGGCAGGAACCCAGCUUCUCGGACAUCGCGAGCCUCGUGGUGUGGUGUAUGGCCGUGGGCAUCUCCUACAUUAGCAUCUACGACCACCAAGAUAUUUUCAAAAGAAAUAAUUCCAGAUUGAUGGAUGAAAUUUUAAAACAGCAGCAAGAACUUCUGGGCCUAGAUUGUUCAAAAUGCUCACCAGAGUUUGCAAAUAGUAAUGACAAAGAUGAUCAAGUUUUAAAUUGCCAUUUGGCAGUGAAGGUGCUAUUGCCGGAAGAUGGAAAAGCAGAUAUUGUGAGAGCUGCUCAGGACUUUGGCCAAUGAGUAGCCCAGAAGCAAAGGAGACCCACAGAUGUGGAUGUAGAUAUGUUAGUUUAUUCAGUUCAAAUGGUUGUCCUGAUCCUGAUUUAGUACUGAAGUUCGGUCCUGUGGACAGCACACGAGGCUUUCUUCUCUGGCACAUCAGAUUGACUGAGAUUGUCUCUUUGCCUUCCCAUCUAAACAUCAGUUAUGGGGACUUUUUCUCUGCCCUUCGUCAUUAUGCAGCCUGUGAACAGCGUCUGGGAAAGUCGUGGUCAUUGGUUGCAUAAUUUGAUCUGAGGCUUAUGAAGGAAAGGACUCAAGUGACUCUGAUGUUUAGAAAGCACCUAUGAAACCCUGUAGACACCUAGUUCAUAAUCCUCAUAAUUUAUCAACAAACACAAAGAAGUGUCUUACUUGAGAGUGAGUGUGUGCGUGUGUGCGUGGACACAUGUACACGUUUGUAUAUGUGGAAAUAAACAUAAAUGGGGAAGUGUUGGAGAAGAAAAUACAUAGACCUACAACUUUGAGCAUAUAGCAGUGAUGUUUUAGGAACUGAAAUGUCACACUUAAUAAAGCCUUCAGCCCAACUACUUCCCUG